ensembl:snRNA U6 U6 spliceosomal RNA
GUGCUUGCUUCAGCAGCACAUACAGUAAAAUUGGAGUGAUACAGAGAUGAUUAUUAUGACCCCUGCAUAAGGAUGACACACAAAUUCAUGAAGUGUUCCAUACUUUU